UUUUCAGAUUGGAAUCUUCUGUAGUAUUGAGAGUGGAUUUUUUUACAAUGGACCAGACCUCAUGACAAAUGUACAGCUGAUGUCAAUAACAAAUAUUCUCUUUGUGCUUCUAUUUUAUCCAAAAGUAUUUGAUGGCUAUGGUUGAAAAGGACAGUUAGCACACAAAAGAAUCUUCAGAUAUUGUCAGAAAGCAUAAGAUGUUGGGAUGAAGUGUACAUUUAAGAGAAUUAAAUAAAAUUCAUGUCUUCA